rnacentral:rRNA from 1 species
CAAGGCUUAAAUGGGAAAUGACAGGUUUAGAAAUAGACUUUCUUCGGACAUUUUUCAAGGUGCUGCAUGGUUGUCGUCAGCUCGUGCCGUGAGGUGUUAGGUUAAGUCCUGCAACGAGCGCAACCCCUGUCACUAGUUGCCAUCAUUAAGUUGGGGACUCUAGUGAGACUGCCUACGCAAGUAGAGAGGAAGGUGGGGAUGACGUCAAAUCAUCACGGCCCUUACGCCUUGGGCCACACACGUAAUACAAUGGCCGGUACAGAGGGCAGCUACACAGUGAUGUGAUGCAAAUCUCGAAAGCCGGUCUCAGUUCGGAUUGGAGUCUGCAACUCGACUCUAUGAAGCUGGAAUCGCUAGUAAUCGCGCAUCAGCCAUGGCGCGGUGAAUACGUUCCC